rnacentral:rRNA from 1 species
CCCUUAGAUGUUCUGGGCAGCACGCGCGCUACAAUGGUCUUCGCAAACGGAUGCAUUCUCGAAGGAGAAUGCCAAUCUUGGAAUCUAUGCCUUGGUCGGGACAGUUGCUUGCAAUUUUUCGACUCGAACCAGGAAUUCCUUGUAAUCGUGAUUCAUCACAUCACGAUGAAUACGUCCCUGCCCUUUGUACACACCGCCCGUCGCUCCUACGGAUCGAAGAGUUAGGUGAAUUGUUUUGAUCGAUAAGAUUUGACUAUGGUCAACUCUCGUUGUGAAAUUCUGUGAAUCUGACUGUUUAGAGGAAGGAAAAGUCGUAACA